GUUGGCUAUGGAGAUAUGCGUCCGGUUACUGUAUGGGGCAAACUGAUCGGCUCGUUAUGUGCCAUAGCCGGUGUGUUGACCAUAGCCUUACCGGUGCCUGUGAUUGUGUCCAAU
rnacentral:sRNA from 1 species